rnacentral:rRNA from 1 species
GAUGAACGCUGGCGGCGUGCCUAAUACAUGCAAGUCGAGCGAACAGACGAGGAGCUUGCUCCUCUGACGUUAGCGGCGGACGGGUGAGUAACACGUGGAUAACCUACCUAUAAGACUGGGAUAACUUCGGGAAACCGGAGCUAAUACCGGAUAAUAUAUUGAACCGCAUGGUUCAAUAGUGAAAGACGGUUUUGCUGUCACUUAUAGAUGGAUCCGCGCCGCAUUAGCUAGUUGGUAAGGUAACGGCUUACCAAGGCAACGAUGCGUAGCCGACCUGAGAGGGUGAUCGGCCACACUGGAACUGAGACACGGUCCAUACUCCUACGGGAGGCAGCUGUAGGGAAUCUUCCGCAAUGGGCGAAAGCCUGACGGAGCAACGCCGCGUGAGUGAUGAAGGUCUUCGGAUCGUAAAACUCUGUUAUUAGGGAAGAACAAAUGUGUAAGUAACUAUGCACGUCUUGACGGUACCUAAUCAGAAAGCCACGGCUAACUACGUG